rnacentral:rRNA from 1 species
UUUUAUUUGAGAGUUUGAUCCUGGCUCAGGAUGAACGCUGGCGGCGUGCCUAACACAUGCAAGUUGAGCGAUUUACUUCGGUAAAGAGCGGCGGACGGGUGAGUAACGCGUGGGUAACCUACCCUGUACACACGGAUAACAUACCGAAAGGUAUGCUAAUACGGGAUAAUAUAUUUGAGAGGCAUCUCUUGAAUAUCAAAGGUGAGCCAGUACAGGAUGGACCCGCGUCUGAUUAGCUAGUUGGUAAGGUAACGGCUUACCAAGGCGACGAUCAGGAGCCGACCUGAGAGGGUGAUCCGCCACAUUGGAACUGAGACACGGUCCAAACGCCUACGGGAGGCAGCAGUGGGGAAUAUUGCACAAUGGGCGAAAGCCUGAUGCAGCAACGCCGCGGGAGUGAUGAAGGCCUUCGGGUCGUAAAACUCUGUCCUCAAGGAAGAUAAUGACGGUACGUGAGGAGGAAGCCCCGGCUAACUACGUGCCAGCAGCCGCGGUAAUACGUAGGGGGCUAGCGUUAUCCGGAUUUACUGGGCGUAAAGGGUGCGUAGGCGGUCUUUCAAGUCAGGAGUGAAAGGCUACGGCUCAACCGUAGUAAGCUCUUGAAACUGGGAGACUUGAGUGCAGGAGAGGAGAGUGGAAUUCCUAGUGUAGCGGUGAAAUGCGUAGAUAUUAGGAGGAACACCAGUUGCGAAGGCGGCUCUCUGGACUGUAACUGACGCUGAGGCACGAAAGCGUGGGGAGCAAACAGGAUUAGAUACCCUG